AAAAUAAUUACUUUUAAAAAUUAAUCUUGUAUGCACGUCAUAUCAAUUUUUAAAAUAAUUAAUUUUUAAAAUUUAAAAUUUAAAAUUUUAAAACUUAAUCUAUAAUUUUUAAUUUUUAAUUUAUAAAUUCUAAAUUUUUAAACUGUAGAAUUCAGAAAACUUUCUUUUUAUCUAAACUCAGCCAAUCGGUUUAGAGCUUUAAUCAAAAUCAAUUUUACAAUUGAAAAUCAGUUACAUGACAAAUCACAUUUCCAGAAUUUAAACCAACCAGGUCACUGAUAUAGCAUUUAGUAAUCUCAUUUUCGAAAUUUGAUUCUAAAUUUAAUAAUAUGACAUCCAAUUGAGUUUAUGAUUUGAUAUAUAAGAAUCUAGUUACUAAUAAUGAAAAUUGGGCUUAAACAUUUUGAGCUAGUUGCUUGGACCCGACAAAUUAUUAUUGAUAGUAGGCGAAAUGUGAGAUAAAUUUCAACUGAGACAUGUUAUAUAGCGGGAAGAGCGAGGCUCUAAACGGGGGACGUAUAUGACAUCCAUUGAAUGGGAAUUGAGUUGUCAUCAUACUUAGUUAAUUCGGAUUCGACAAAAAUUCGGCACGGAUAUAAUACGUUUAAAAUUUAUUUUUUAAUUUUCAAAUUCGUUGAAAAAUUCGGCUUAAAAAACGAAUUCGGUAUAAAAUAUAAAAUAUAAAAUAAUUUAUAUUUAAAAAUAAAAAAUAUAAUUUUUUAUUUAUAUUUUCAAUAAUUCGCGAAUAAUUCGGCUGGCCAAAAAAUUCGCGAAUAAUUCUCUUUCUUUCGAAAAAAUUCAUAAGAGGGCCGUUUAAUUUAGAUUUUUAAUAAUUCGCGAAUAAUUCUCUUUCUUUCGAAAAAAUUCAUUAGAGGGCCGUUUAAUUUAGAUUUUUAAUAAUUCGCGAAUAAUUCUCUUUCUUUCGAAAAAAUUCAUUGUCACGCCCCGGGGUCCCCUUUUUUGUUUGAAACACAGCAGAAAAGCGUUUGAAUUUUUUUUUUUUUUGAAAACGUACCUGACCCCAGAGUAUGCCAGAUCCGCCACAAAUACAAGGAAUCCACUGUUCACACGGACAGAGUGUCCCCUGUAUUUGCACGGCGUCACACAAGUACAAAAGUACAAACAGUAUACAACUACAACUAAAUGAAUAUACAGAUAGCUAUACAUUCAUACAUUCACCAUUCACACCGUAGUUUUACAUUCGAUGUUUAAACAAAAGUCCACGAAAAAUCUUUUGAAAGCUGUUCCAUACGCGAAAACUUUUAUCUUUUAUAAUAGCUACCACGAGAGAUAGAAAACCUUUUUUUUUUUUUUUUUACCAAAUCCAGAAAUCCUUUUAUUACAUUCAUGAAAGUUCACAUAAUCCGAUGUAAUAAAAAUACUGAACCAUAUAAACUGGCUAAGCUAUAACAACAAAAUCGUAGGGAUAAAACUAAGCCGAUAACCUGGGUUGGAAGCUCUAUCGACCGCUACGAACGUACCUCACGUCUCGUCCCAAAACUCAAUGCCUGUACUACCUGAAAAAUAGUGGGGGAGGUGAGAACAUGUAAACAUGUCUCCCCUCCCAGUGGGUACCGCAAGCCGAAGAAGGCGAGGAGUACUCACCGGAUCAGGAAGAGAUAAACAACAGUAUGGGUAAGUAAAAUACAGUAGCAACGAUAAUAAACGAAUGAGAUAUAUAUAUGAAAGCACAUCUACCGCUACUGUAAUGUACAACUGCAAGCAUACAAGGAUAUCAAAACUAUAGUAGCAAGACAACUGUAAAGAAAGAAAUAGAAGUAUAUAUGCAACAACCGCUACUAUAGCUAUAUGCGUCAACCGGACGAGAAGUCCAAACGUACCCAAUCUAAACUGCCGUGUCGGUCUAAGGACCUCAGGCAAAAGCCACUAUCUGCUCACACCUGGCAUGUAACCCUAGCAUAAGAGAACACCGCUGGGCUCACGGAUCGGAUGUACGACCACUUUUCCGGAAAAGAACACCCUCCUGCGGGGGAUCAACCCGCUGGUGUACGUGAAAUGCACUCGAGCUGUGGCGAUCAAUGCGGAUAUGAUCAAUAGCCAACCGUCGGCAAUCAGCCGACAAUCACUGCCCCUCUGGGCGUACCGACCGUGUAGGUCAUCAAGUAACAAUGUGAACCGACCGA
rnacentral:lncRNA from 1 species